CGGGAACCGCCAGAACCGCGGAACCGGAACCGCCAGAAACGGAACCGGAUGGUUCCGGAACCAUAUGGUAGCGGUUCCGGCUCCGGAACCGCCAGAACCGCCAGAACCGGAACCGCCAGAACCGCAGAACCGGAACCACCAGCCGAAACCGCAGACCCAAAUAAACCCAGAACCGGAACCGGAUAUAGCCUUACUUCUUCCUCACACUUACUCAUCCCUUUUCACUAACACAUAGUAGAAGCACAUAUUAGAGCUAAGACUUUUUUUUUAAAAAAAGCCCUAAAUCGAAAACACAUGCUCGAGAAAUCGGAGCACAAGUCUAAAAGAAGAGGGAAAAUUGAAGUUAGUUCCGAAUUUGUUUAGUCGCUGCAUAUUUUUGAGUUCUCAAGUUGUUUCUGAGAUGAAAAUCAAAGUAUUCCAGGAUUCUCGAGUGUAAGCUGUCUUGUUGAACUUCAGCUGGGUUCUCUGUCCAGUUUAUGCUUGGCUUUUGUUUGGGAUUCUUUUUUAUGGUCAAGUUAUGAGUUUCUAAUUUCAAAUAAUGUAGUAUUUGUUUGAAUAACAUGUUUUGGAUUGCAGCUAAUAUUGCUCUUUGUUCCAACGUAUAUUAUGUCAUUGUUUGCCUUCUUCCUUCUUGUCAUAUAUAAAAUGAAAUGCAAAGUAAUGCAGAAGAUUCGGGUAGGGUGUAAGAGAUCCUAGGCUUGAUAUUAAUAGGUUAAUAAAUAAAUAAUCUCAUUUCGAAUAAUGUUACGACUACUCUGUAGGAUAAACGUACAAGGGAGUUUUUCAAUUAAAGUGAUAUUAUUCGAAAUGAGAUUCUUUAUUUAUUAUGAGCCAUCACUUGGGAUAGGUUUGGCUUUGGUGUCCCAAGUCACCGGUUUAUUCAGAAUCCCAAAUCGAGAAAAUGUUUUGACUUCCCAAAUGGAGUCUGGGAACCCGAAAUUCGAAGUAAGGAAUUUUGUUGACCCGAGGGAAGGUGUUAGGCACCCCCGAAUCCCGUGGUUCUAGCACAAUCGCUUAAACUAUUAUAAAUGGCUAAAAUUCUAAUUUUACACAUGUUCAUCCUAAAAAUGCGAUUUUUAAUUACUUACACCGCUUUUAAUAUUUUUUAAAGGAAAUUGCAAUAUCGUUAAAACAUGCAACGAACCACGUCACAGAAAUGCACCCGCGGUUUUUGACAUAUUUUAAUUUUAUUGAGAUUUGAAUUUGGGUAACAUAAAUAUGCACUUGUACUUAGGAAGAUAAAAUUAUUAAAGACGCACUUAAAGCGACUAUCAUGUUAUUUGCGGGAAGCCGUGAAGUUCGCUAAACGGCGUGUCCUGAAUUCUCGCUUACCUGCCCGACGGGUAGACCCAAUAGAAUAAAUAGAAUAAGAGGCUUGACCUAGAGCCCUUCUCUUCCCCCUGAAAAAAAUCGGAUAUUUGGCAUGAGUAGCCUACGAGCCCUUACUUGAUGUCUGCGCUAACUGCCCUAUAGCUGGUGAAUCCUUUGAAUCAUAGGAAUGGCAAAAUCAGUAGAUACCGGGCGGAUAUUUGGCAUGAGUUAGACCCAAUAGAAUAAAUAGAAUAAGAGGCUUGACCUAGAGCUCUUCUCUUCCCCCUGAAAAAAAUCGGAUAUUUGGCAUGAGUAGCCUACGAGCCCUUCUAAGUAUUUUAAUAUGAACAUUUAAAGAGAGCCACGCAAUUUAUGGGUUUUAUUUGGCACUGUGCAGCUCAAUUCCGAUGUUAUCUACUACGGCCCACUUCCACUAAUUAUUUAAAGAGAAAUUUCCAAAUUUGGUUUUGAGGGCUAUAGCUAUUGGAAUUACAAGAAUCAUUUAUACUAUGUAGCUUCCGUUUGCCUCUUGAAAUUUAACGACUAAUGUAACAAAUGAAUACACUGAUUUUGAUAACUAUGUAAACUCAAAGGGAAACAAAGUACUUAUUUAACAAUCUUUUAUUAAAAAAAAAACGUAAAGCAAAAAGCAUUUGUCAUUGAGCAGUAACAACACAUGUAGUCCAUAUCUUGUUAUGUCGUGUUUUGACAAUAAUUGCUUAAUGAAAUCACUAGCAUUUUAGUAAUCAACUUGAACAUUGCAUCUACUAGCCCAAUAAUGAACAGAUCUUAGCAAGACGGACUUGAGAUAUUCAUCUCCUUUCAAGCUCACUUUGGAAAUUUAAUGUUUUAGAAAUAUGGCUAGGAAUAUCAUCGAGUUUAUCUUCUGCAUCAAGCACAACAUUAAAAUUCCCAACAAAUGAACAAGGUUCAGCCUAUAUAUACAACACCUCUAUUCAAUUAUAGACCAAGCAGAUUUAAAUUUAAAGCAUAGGAAAUACUAUCACAGAGAAUAUUUCCAACAAGUCAAAAUAGUUAAAUACCAUUUCCUAUUAAUUAACAAAUAAAACAAAAAACAAAAAUUUCAUAGCCUCAGCAAACUCCAAAAAAGAAAAGGCCGAAUUAUCUAUUAAUAUCAAGCCUAGCAUCUCUCAUACCCUACUCGAAUCUCCUGCAUUACUUUGCAUUUUAUUUUAUAUAUAACAAAAAGGAAGAAAGCAAACAAUAGCAUAAUAUCGUUCGAAUUUCCCCAAGAGCAAGGUGGAAAAUUCUUGGAGGGAAGGAUGCCGAGAUCUAUUUGAAAACGGCCUCUCUACUCCAGGGUAGAGGUAAGGUCACUGAAUUAUACUAUCCUCCCUAGACCCCGCUAUGUGAGAUUAUACUGGUUGUUUGUUGUUGUAAAAAGCAAUAUUAGCUGCAAUCCAAAACAUGUCUAAAUAGAUGAAUAAUCAUUGCAGAUCUCGUAACAUAAUACCAUCCAAACAAAUAUUACAUUAUUUGAAAUUAGAAACUCAUACCUUGACCAUAAAAAAGAAUCCCAAACAUAAGCCAAACAGAAGCUGGACAGAGAACCCAGCUGAAGCUCAACAAGACAGCAAACAACACGACCGCAACCCACGGGAAAAAUCAGCCUUCGACCGCUUACAUUCAAAAAUCUGGAAUAAUUUGAUUUUCAUCUUGGAAACAACUUGAGAACUCAAAAAUAUGCAGCGACUAAACAAAAUUGGAACUAACUUCAAUUUCCCCUCUUCUUUUGGACUUGUGCUCCAAUUUCUGGAGCAUUUGUUUUCGAUUUAGGGCUUUUUUAAAAAUAAAAAUAAAAAAUUCUUAGCUCUAAUAUGUGCUUCUACUAUGUGUUAGUGAGAAGGGAUGAGUAAGUGUGAGGAAGAAGGAGAAGAAAAUCUCUUAAGAAGAUAGUUUAUUCGGUUCUUCGUAAGGAUGGAAAGAGAAAACGCCGAUUUUUGUUCUAUAUGUUUUUUUGCUAAAAACAACCCCCAUCUUUUCUAGGUCUAAUCUUGCUUUAUAAUAAAAAUAAAGUUUGAGCCAAGAGGGUAUUGGAUAUGAUAUUGGGUUGGGCAAGAAAGAAGGAAAUUGGACCCCUUUUUUUGGAACUGGC
rnacentral:lncRNA from 1 species